rnacentral:rRNA from 1 species
AACGCGAAGAACCUUACCUGGUCUUGACAUCCACGGAAGUUUUCAGAGAUGAGAAUGUGCCUUCGGGAACUGUGAGACAGGUGCUGCAUGGCUGUCGUCAGCUCGUGUUGUGAAAUGUUGGGUUAAGUCCCGCAACGAGCGCAACCCUUAUCCUUUGUUGCCAGCGGUCCGGCCGGGAACUCAAAGGAGACUGCCAGUGAUAAACUGGAGGAAGGUGGGGAUGACGUCAAGUCAUCAUGGCCCUUACGACCAGGGCUACACACGUGCUACAAUGGCGCAUACAAAGAGAAGCGACCUCGCGAGAGCAAGCGGACCUCAUAAAGUGCGUCGUAGUCCGGAUUGGAGUCUGCAACUCGACUCCAUGAAGUCGGAAUCGCUAGUAAUC